rnacentral:tRNA from 1 species
GAGGGUAUAGCUCAAGUGGUAGAGCACAUGCUUAGCAGCACAAGGUCCUGGGUUCAAUCCCCAGUACCUCCU